GGCUAUGUCUGUCUUACAGGAGAAGGUUCUGGAGCUGGCAAGACCCCAGCUGGCCCUGGUUCCCCUUGGCUACAGCAUGACCCUGAUGCUGUGGGACCCACACGGCCCUGGGCCCCAGCUGCCCUGCCAGAGCAUCGUUUGGCAGGUCAUCACCACCAUCUUCCAAGAACUGGAGGCCCUGGGGGGUGAUGCACGGAGCCUGCAAACUGUCAGCCUGGUCCAGGUAGGGCAGGAGCAGGGUGUGGUGGGCUGAGGGUUCCAUUCCCUCUCUGCCGGUGGUCAGACCUUGCUGUGCCAAGGGACAUACAUUGCCCCAGUACUGGCACGCAGUGCCCUGUGCCAGAGGGUGACCAAAGCCUGCAGACCUUCGGAUCCUGAGAUCUCUCCCUUCUCAGCCCUUACCUUUGCAUGGCCAUGAGCAGGCUGCGUCCCUGGGGAGUGCCAGCACUCCCCUCUUUGCCCCCCCUCUGCCUAACGCAGCCCCAUUCCAGGUCUGCAGCCAUGACAAAGCCUGGGACCUGCUUCAUCCCGAUGGCCGAGCCCUGCAAAUGAUGGAUGUUGCGCCCCUGGGCCUGAUGGUGGAGGAGGCAAUGGAAGUCGCAGUGCGCGAUGCCCAAGCUGCCAUCAGUGUGUAUGCCUCGGGGCUGGGAGCCAUCCCGGCACUGUUCCAGGGGUGUGCACAGCAGCUCCCUGCAGGCGAGUGCUCGGCCACACAGGGAGAUGCACUCCCUAGAGCCGGCAGCCUCUUCACUCUCACCGUGGAGCGGGAGCUGGAGGGAGGCAGGCACCAGCGCUCAGCCCUCAGGAUCCUGGCAUCUCCUGGGACCACUGGGCCCUGCUCCAGGCUGUACGUACUGGAGCUACAGCCCUGUGCUAGGCUAAGCCAUGUCCCCUACCCUGGCACCCCUGCCGUGCUGCUGUGGGUCAGGGGGGAUUUGGUACCCUCUUGAAGCAGGAGAGACCCCAACACCCCAGUGGGAGCACCUGUCUGGGAGCCAAGGGGGUGCCAUGACCCCUGGGGACAUGGGCUUGCUUCCAGCAUGGCUCCCAUGGGUCGGGGCUCAGCCUUCCCAGCCCCAUCCCUCUCCUAGGGUGCCCCUUGUCCCACAUGCAGGGAACCGGGCACUGGCCACCCUCUGCCUGACACUGGCUGCCUGCCCUGGGUCGUGGAGCAGUUGCUGGAGGGGAACAGCCUGACGUUCCUGCUGCUGUGUGUGACGCUGCCAGACACCUCCAGAGAAGAGGUCCUGGAGGCCCUGGGGCUGGCUGAGCGCGUGAAGGGGCUGGCCAGGAGGAUCUCAGCCACGCUCUGGGACCCUGUGCAAGAGAUCACAGCACGUCGGAGGCUGAUCCGAGGGCUGCGCCUGGAGCUGCUGGCUGGAGCUGCAGUCCCUGAGCAGGAGGUGGCCCUGGCCCAGCUGCGGAAAGCCCUGCGGGAGCUGCGGGUGCUGAAGAGCCAAAGGUGGGAGAAGAAGCAGGCAACAGCCGAGAUGCUCAGGACAAGUGAGAUACAUCAAACCACUACAAAGAUGGGCACUGGUCAGGACAUUACCCCCUCAUACAGGGAUAACCCAGGUGCAGGAG